rnacentral:misc_RNA from 1 species
UCUCCGUUGGUGAACCAGCGGAGGGAUCAUUACUGGAAUCGCAAGAUCCCACAACCCUGUGAACCUACCGACACGUUGCCUCGGCGGGCGCCUGGCCUUUCGCCGGGCGCGAAGCCCGCCGGUGGCCCCCUACUCUGUCUCUGCAGCGUGGCAUCUCCGAGUAUAUACAAUACAAGUCAAAACUUUUAACAACGGAUCUCUUGGCUCUA